rnacentral:lncRNA from 1 species
GUAUGGGAUCUCUGUGGGAUCUAUUGGGAUCUAUGGGGUCUGUAUGGGAUCUGUAUGUGUUCCAUUUGGAUCUAUGGCGUCUCUAUGGGAUCUAUUGGUUUCUAUGGGGUCUCUAUCAGAUCUCUAUGGGAUCCAGUGGGAUCCACGACGUCCCUUUUGGAUCUCUAUGGGAUCCAGUGGGAUCUAUGGGGUCUCUAUGGGAUCUCUUGGGAUCUAUGGGGUCUCUAUGGGAUCUCUAUGGGAUCCAUUGGGUUCUAUGGGGUCUCUAUGGGAUUCAUUGGGAUCUAUGGGGUCUAUAUGGGAUCUCUGCGAGAUCCGUUGGGUUCUAUGGCGUCUCUAUGGGGUCUCUAUGGGAUCCAUUGGGAUCUAUGGGAUCUCUAUGGGAUCCCUCUGGCAUAUAUGGGUUCUCUGUGGGAUCUCUGUGGGAUCCCAAUAGGAUCUGUGGGUCCCCACAGUGUCGUCGUUGUCCCCCCCCAUAAAGAACAUAAGCGACGCUAUGGGGCACAGCAGCGUUUAUUGGACGGCACCACGAGGGGGGGAGAGAGGGGGCAGACAACGCUGUGGGGCACGGGGAGGGGGGGGGGAAUCUAUGGGGCAGAGGGGGGGUGAAUCUAUGGGGCAGAAGGGGGUGAUGCUAUGGGGCACGGGGGGGGAAUCUAUGGGGCAGAGGGGGGCGAUGCUAUGGAGUGGGAUGGCAAUGAUGUGGGGCACAGAGGGGGCGCUGUGGGGUAGAGGGGGCGAUGCUAUGGGGGAGAAGGGGCAAUUCUAUGGGGCAGAGAGGGACGAUGCUGUGGGCCAGAGAGGUGAUGGUAUGGGGCAGAGGGGGCGAUGCUAUGGGGCUGGUGGUGAUGCUAUGGGGCAGAGGGGGAUGUUGCUAUGGGGCAGAGGGGGGUGAUGCUAUGGGGCAGAGAGGGACGAUGCUAUGGGGCACAGAGGGAGGAUGCUAUGGGGCAGAGGGGGUGAUGCUAUGGGGCACGGGGGGGGGAAUCUAUGGGGCAGAGGGGGGCGAUGCUAUGGGGUGGGAUGGCAAUGAUGUGGGGCAUAGAGGGGGCGCUGUGGGGCAGAGGGGGGCGUUGCUAUGGGGCAGAGGGGGGUGAUGGUGUGGGGCAGAGGGGGGCGAUGCUAUGGGGCGGAGAGGGUGAUGCUGUGGGGCAGAGGGGGGCGAUGUUAUGGGGCGGAGAGGGAGAUGCUAUGGAGCAGAGGGGUGAUGGUAUGGGGGGGGGAUCUAUGGGGCAGGGGGGGGCGAAUCUAUGGGGCAGAAGAGGAUGAUGCUACGGGGUGGGAUGGCAAUGAUGUGGGGCACAGAGGGGGCGCUGUGGGGCAGAGUGCGGCGUUGCUAUGGGGCAGAGGGGGGGUGAUGCUAUGGGGCAGAGAGGCUGAUGCUAUGGGGCAGAGAAGGAGAAUGCUAUGGGGCAGAGAGGGUGAUGCUAUGGGGCACGGGAGGGGGAAUCUAUGGGGCAGAGGGGGGCGAUGCUAUGGGGUGGGAUGGCAAUGAUGUGGGGCACAGAGGGGGCACUGUGGGGCAGAGGGGGCGAUGCUAUGGGGGAGAAGGGGCAAUUCUAUGGGGCAGAGGGGGACGAUGCUGUGGGUCAGAGAGGUGAUGGUAUGGGGCAGAGGGGGCGAUGCUAUGGGGCUGGUCGUGAUGCUAUGGGGCAGAGGGGGAUGUUGCUAUGGGGCAGAGGGGGGUGAUGCUAUGGGGCAGAGGGGUGAUGCUAUGGGGCAGAGGGGCAAUGCUAUGGGGCAGGAGAGGUGAUGCUAUGGGGUGGGAUGGCAACGAUGUGCGGCAUAGAGGGGGCGCUGAGGGGCAGAGGGGGGGCGUUGCUAUGGGGCAGAGGGGGGUGAUGCUAUGGGGCAGAGAGGCUGAUGCUAUGGGGCAGAGAGGGAGAAUGCUAUGGGGCAGAGAGGGUGAUGCUAUGGGGCACGGGAGGGGGAAUCUAUGGGGCAGAGGGGGGCGAUGCUAUGGGGUGGGAUGGCAAUGAUGUGGGGCACAGAGGGGGCACUGUGGGGCAGAGGGGGCGAUGCUAUGGGGGAGAAGGGGCAAUUCUAUGGGGCAGAGGGGGAUGAUGCUGUGGGUCAGAGGGGUGAUGCUAUGGGGCAGAGAGGGACGAUGCUAUGGGGCAGGAGAGGUGAUGCUAUGGGGUGGGAUGGCAAUGAUGCGGGGCAUAGAGGGGGCGCUGAGGGGCAGAGGGGGGCGUUGCUAUGGGGCAGAGGGGGGCGAUGCUGUGGGGCAGAGGGGGCAAUGCUAUGGGGCAGAGGGGUGAUGCUAUGGGGCAGAGGGGGGUGAUGCUAUGGGGCAGAGGGUCAAUGCUAUGGGGCAGACGAGGGCGAUGCUGUGGGGCAGAGAGGGCAAUGCUAUGGGGCAGGGGGGGAAUCUAUGGGGCAGAGGGGGAUGAUGCUGUGGGGCAGAGAGAAUGCUAUGGGGUAGAGGAGGGCGAUGCUAUGGGGCAGAGAGGGAGAUGCUAUGGGGUAGAGGGCGGUGAUGCUAUGGGGCAGAGGGGGCAAUGCUAUGGGGCAGAAGGGGUGAUGCUAUGGGGUGGGAUGGCAAUGAUGUGGGGCACAGAGGGGGGCGCUGUGGGGCAGAGGGGGCGAUGCUAUGGGGGAGAAGGGGCAAUUCUAUGAGGCAGAGAGGGACGAUGCUGUGGGCCAGAGAGGUGAUGGUAUGGGGCAGAGGGGGCGAUGCUAUGGGGCUGGUGGUGAUGCUAUGGGGCAGAGGGGGAUGUUGCUAUGGGGCAGAGGGGAGUGAUGCUAUGGGGCAGAGGGGUGAUGCUAUGGGGCAGAGGGGCAAUGCUAUGGGGCAGGAGAGGUGAUGCUAUGGGGUGGGAUGGCAAUGAUGUGCGGCAUAGAGGGGGCGCUGAGGGGCAGAGGGGGGCGUUGCUAUGGGGCAGAGGGGGGUGAUGCUAUGGGGCAGAGAGGCUGAUGCUAUGGGGCAGAGAGGGAGAAUGCUAUGGGGCAGAGAGGGUGAUGCUAUGGGGCACGGGAGGGGGAAUCUAUGGGGCAGAGGGGGGCGAUGCUAUGGGGUGGGAUGGCAAUGAUGUGGGGCACAGAGGGGGCACUGUGGGGCAGAGGGGGCGAUGCUAUGGGGGAGAAGGGGCAAUUCUAUGGGGCAGAGAGGGACGAUGCUGUGGGCCAGAGAGGUGAUGGUAUGGGGCAGAGGGGGCGAUGCUAUGGGGCUGGUGGUGAUGCUAUGGGGCAGAGGGGGAUGUUGCUAUGGGGCAGAGGGGGGUGAUGCUAUGGGGCAGAGAGGGACGAUGCUAUGGGGCACAGAGGGAGGAUGCUAUGGGGCAGAGGGGGUGAUGCUAUGGGGCACGGGGGGGGGAAUCUAUGGGGCAGAGGGGGGCGAUGCUAUGGGGUGGGAUGGCAAUGAUGUGGGGCAUAGAGGGGGCGCUGUGGGGCAGAGGGGGGCGUUGCUAUGGGGCAGAGGGGGGUGAUGGUGUGGGGCAGAGGGGGGCGAUGCUAUGGGGCGGAGAGGGUGAUGCUGUGGGGCAGAGGGGGGCGAUGUUAUGGGGCGGAGAGGGAGAUGCUAUGGAGCAGAGGGGUGAUGGUAUGGGGGGGGGAUCUAUGGGGCAGGGGGGGGCGAAUCUAUGGGGCAGAAGAGGAUGAUGCUACGGGGUGGGAUGGCAAUGAUGUGGGGCACAGAGGGGGCGCUGUGGGGCAGAGUGCGGCGUUGCUAUGGGGCAGAGGGGGGGGUGAUGCUAUGGGGCAGAGAGGCUGAUGCUAUGGGGCAGAGAAGGAGAAUGCUAUGGGGCAGAGAGGGUGAUGCUAUGGGGCACGGGAGGGGGAAUCUAUGGGGCAGAGGGGGGCGAUGCUAUGGGGUGGGAUGGCAAUGAUGUGGGGCACAGAGGGGGCACUGUGGGGCAGAGUGGGGCGUUGCUAUGGGGCAGAGGGGGGUGAAGCUGUGGAGCAGAGUGGUGAUGCUAUGGGGCAGAGGGGGGAUGGGGCUAUGGGGCAGGGGAGGCUGAGAAGUGGGGCAGGGUGGGAUGACGCUAUGGGGCACUGUGGGGCGCGGAGGGGCGGUGCUGCUGUGGGGCUGAGCAGAGGUUUGGGGGCUGAAGUUGUGGGGCACAACAGGGGGUGCAAACGGGGCUGCCCCAUAGAUUUGGGGGCUGCCCCAUAAGUGUGCAUAUGUGGGUCCGGAGCUGCCCCAUAGAUUGCAUAGCUGCAGUUGUGGGGCUGCCCCAUAAGUGUGCGUAUGUGGGUCUGGGGCUGCCCCAUAAGUGGGUACCUAGAGCUGUGGGGCUGCCCCAUAGAUUGCAUAGCGGGGGCUGUGGGGCUGCCCCAUAAGUGUGCGUAUGUGGGUCAGGGGCUGCCCCACAGAUUGCAUAGGGGCGGUUGUGGGGCUGCCCCAUAAGUGUGCGUAUGUGGGUCAGGGGCUGCCCCAUAGAUUGCAUAGCGGGGGCUGUGGGGCUGCCCCAUAAGUGUGCGUAUGUGGGUCAGGGGCCACCCCAUAGAUUGCAUAGUGGGGGUUGUGGGGCUGCCCCAUAGCAUAUGUGGGUCAGGGGCUGUCCCAUAAGUGUGCGUAUGUGGGUCUGGGGCUGCCCCAUAAGUGAGUGCCUCGAGCUGUGGGGCUGCCCCAUAGAUUGCAUAGCAGCAGUUGUGGGGCUGCCCCGUAAGCGUGCGUAUGUGGGUCUGGGGCUGCCCCAUAGACUGCAUAGGGGCGGUUGUGGGGCCGCCCCAUAAGUGUGAAUAUGUGGGUCAGGGGCUGCCCCAUAGAUUGCAUAGCGGGGGCUGUGGGGCUGCCCCAUAAGUGUGCGUAUGUGGGUCAGGGGCUGCCCCAUAGAUUGCAUAGUGGGGGUUGUGGGGCUGCCCCAUAGCAUAUGUGGGUCAGGGGCUGCCCUGUAAGUGUGCGUAUGUGGGUCUGGGGCUGCCCCAUAGAUUGCAUAGCGGGGGCUGUGGGGCUGCCCCAUAGCAUUUGUGGGUCAGGAGCUGUCCCAUAAGUGUGCGUAUGUGGGUCUGGGGCUGCCCCAUAAGUGAGUGCCUCGAGCUGUGGGGCUGCCCCAUAGAUUGCAUAGCAGCAGUUGUGGGGCUGCCCCGUAAGUGUGCGUAUGUGGGGCAGGAGCUGCCCCAUAGAUUGCAUAGCUGCAGUUGUGGGGCUGCCCCAUAAGUGUGCGUAUGUGGGUCAGGGGCCGCCCCAUAGAUUGCAUAGUGGGGGCUGUGGGGCUGCCCCAUAGCAUAUGUGGGUCAGGAGCUGCCCCAUAAGUGUGCGUAUGUGGAUCGAAGGCUACCCCAUAGAUUGCAUAGCGGGGGCUGUGGGGCUGCCCCAUAAGUGUGUAUGUGGGGCUGCCCCAUAGUGCCCACCUCACUCCAUAGUGCUGCCCCAUAGAGCUGCCCUAUAGCUCUGCCCCAUAGUGCUGCCCCAGAUCUCUGCCCCAUAGUGCUGCCCCAUAGCACUGCCCCCCAUGGCUGCCCCAUAGCCCUACCCUAUAGCCCUACCCCACAGCUCUUCCCCAUAGCCCUACCCCACAGUGCUGCCCCACAGCGCUGCCCCAUAGCACUGUCCCAUAGUGCUGCCCCACAGCUCUGCCCCAUAGCCCUGCCCCAUAGCGCUGCCCCACAGUGCUGCCCCAUAGCACUGUCCCAUAGUGCUGCCCCAUAGCCCAGCCCCAUAGAGCUGCCCCACAGCACUUCCCCAUAGCCCCGCUCCAUAGCGCUGCCCCACAGCCCUGCCCCAUAGCACUGCCCCAAAGCGCUGCCCCAUAGCCCUACCCCACAGCUCUGCCCCAUAACCCUGCCCCACAUCCCUUCCCCACAUCCCUGCCCCACAGCCCUGCCCCAUAGCCCAGCCCCAUAGCACUACCCCAUAGCUUCCCUAUAGCCCUGCCCCACAGCGCUGCCCCAUAGCUCUGCCCCAUAGCCCAGCCCCAUAACUGUCCCAUAACUUCUUCAUAACUUUGCCCCAUAGCAACCCAAUAGCUCAGCCCCAUAGCAACCCCACAGCUGCCCCAUAGCAGCCCCACAGCUGCCCCAUUACCCUUCCCUAUAGCAACCCUAUAGCUGCCCCAUAGCCCAGCCCCAUAGCAGCCCCAUAACCCUGCCCCAUAACUGCCCCACAGCAGCCCCACAUCUGCCCCAUAGCCCUGCCCCCCAGCUGCCCCAUAGCAGCCCCAUAGCCCAGCCCCAUAGCAGCCCCAUAGCUUCCCCUUAUCCCUGCCCCAUAACAGCCCCAUAGGUGCCCCAUAGCUCUGCCCCAUAGCUGCCCCAUAGCUGCCCCAUAGGUGCCCCCCAGCUGCCCCAUAGCCCCCCAGCUGCCCCAUAGCAGCCCCAUAGGUGCCCCAUAGCAGCCCCACAGCUGCCCCAUAGCAGCCUCAUAGGCGUCCCCCAGCUGCCCCAUAGCAGCCCCAUAGGUGCCCCAUAGCAGCCCCACGGCUGCCCCAUAGGUGCCCCCCAGCUGCCCCAUAGCAGCCCCAUAGGUGCCCCAUAGCAGCCCCACUGCUGCCCCAUAGCAUCACCUCAGCUCUGCCCCAUAGCAGCCCCAUAGGUUCCCCACAGCUGCCCCAUAGCUGCCCCACAGCAUCACCACAGCUCAGCAGCCCCAUAGCAGCCCCACAGCUGCCCCAUAGCAGCUCAGUGUGCCUCAGUGCCCCCCAGCUGCCCCAUAGCCCCCCAGCUGCCCCAUAGCAGCCCCGCAGGUGCCCCAUAGCAGCCCCCCAGCUGCCCCAUAGGUGCCCCCCAGCAGCCCCAUAGCAGCCCCAUAGGUGCCCCAUAGCAUCACCACAGCUCUGCCCCAUAGCAGCCCCAUAGGUGUCCCCCAGCUGCCCCAUAGCCCCCCAGCUGCCCCAUAGCAGCCCUACAGCUGCCCCAUAGCCCCCCAGGAGCCCCAUAGGUGCCCCAUAGCAGCCCCACAGCUGCCCCAUAGCCCCCCAGCAGCCCCAUAGGUGCCCCACAGCUGCCCCACAGCUGCCCCAUAGCAGCCCAAUAGGUGCCCCCCAGCUGCCCCAUAGCCCCCCAUAGCCCCCAUAGCAGCUCAGUGUGCCUCAGUGCCCCCCAGCUGCCCCAUAGCAGCCCCAUAGGUGCCCCAUAGCAGCCCCCCAGCUGCCCCAUAGCAGCCCCAUAGGUGUCCCCCAGCUGCCCCAUAGCCCUCUAGCUGCCCCAUAGCAGCCCCAUAGGUGCCCCAUAGCCCCACAGCUGCCCCAUAGCAGCCCAAUAGGUGCCCCCCAGCUGCCCCAUAGCCCCCCAUAGCCCCCAUAGCAGCUCAGUGUGCCUCAGUGCCCCCCAGCUGCCCCAUAGCAGCCCCAUAGGUACCCCAUAGGUGCCCCAUAGCAGCCCCACAGCUGCCCCACAGCUGCCCCAUAGCAGCCCCAUAGCAGCUCAGUGUGCCUCAGUGCCCUCCCAGUACUCGCGGGCCCCGGUGGGUUUGGGGCUGUGCGCCCCCCCUUCGCCCCCAUCCUCCUCGGGGGUCCCAAAACCGCCACCGCCGGGGGUCAGAAGGAUGAAUACGUCCUGGGGGGGCAACGGGGGUCAGUGGGGGUCAUGGGGGGGCAAUGGGGGGGAAAUGGGGGGCAAUGGGGGGCAAUGGGGGCAAUGGGGGAAAUGGGGGAAAUGGGGGG